rnacentral:tRNA from 1 species
GCGGGUAUGGCGGAAUUGGCAGACGCGCUGGUUUUAGGGUCCAGUGGGCAACCGUGCAGGUUCAAAUCCUGUUACCCGCACCA